AACAAAUCCCACUCUAUUUCAUUUGAUAUCACUUUUUUUAAGGAUAUUAUAAUGCUACAACAGCAAAAAAGAUUAUUCUUUGAUUAACAUAACUGCAAACUAGCUUUGCUCUGUUUCGAUUUCGUGACAUGUAUCAAAAUGCUCUGUUUUUGCACUUUCGACUCAAAGGCAGGGCAUAUAUUCUUCUAGAAUAACUGAUUUUUUUAGCUACUGUGCAUUUUUGUGUGUAGGGUAAUUGACUAAAUCAUGGUUGCCACAUGAUCUCGCACCUCCUUUUUGUCAAAAGUUUCCAGCAACAUUUUGAAGAAAAAGUGGUGGGAAAGCAUCUUCUUUUUUCUUCAGAUUCCAAAUAAACUGCACUUGUGCAGUGAUGAAGGAUUUAAAGAAUUAGCCAAGAUAAUGAUGAUUGGUGCAUUUUUCUCCUGAUUGAGUGUUGAUUAGCAGAGAAGAUUAAAAAAUAAUGUAGCCUCAACACUAUAUUGCUAAAUAAUAAUGCAUUCGCUUUGGAAUUUCAUAGUGAGAUAUGGCUAAUAUUCUUUGAUUCUUUUGUGGCUUCAAGCUUACACACACUGCAAAUUUUUUGUGGCAUGUCCAGCUUCAUUUCAUAUAUCCUACACUUACAAGAAGUGGACUUGUUUUGGAAUCUGAUCCUUGCAAGAUAAAAAGUUCCUCAAUCCGAUGCUGCUUUCGUGGGAUAUUCUUAGCUCUGCAAUUCAAGACUCUCCCUUUCUAUUCGUCGUCUGCUGCUCUUUUCUUUCUCUCCUUCUGUUCAGAAAUUAGGCCCUUAUCAGAAAACCAACACUCACUCACACACAAGCCUUUAACCUUGUUUUGCUUAACUGAUCAAAACAAAAUGUUCAACAACAUAACAAAAUAAUGAAAUCUUUAUUGAGAUGUUUCAUAUUCAACCUGUGGAGUCGACUGGUAACGCUGAGAUACAAAAACUCCUAAUGAAAAUGCUAGUAAAGUUGUCAAAACAAGGCAUCUCUUGGUCUUGAUCAUCCUCGACAGUCUCUGCAGGAAACUGCUGUCGGGCCUCUCUCCCUUGGGCGUUUCUUCGUGGUUCUGGUUAGAAUCAUCGUUGUUGGCGGUAUCUACUACGCCAUCAGACGUGGUGCUGUCUUGUUGAACUGAGGUCAAGAUCGAGUUGUCAACGUGUUUCUUGGGUAUGAUUACAUAGUAGGUCUCAUCCUCUAAGAUGGCAUUGGUUUCCUCUAUGUUGCAACCUUCUGGUACCUUGUAUGCCUGCUCGAAAUGUAGGAUUGUGUUGUCGUUGGCCUGCCUUUCUCCGCUCACUAUGACGUGGUCGUGGGCAUCGGCUCGAAUCCUCACUUCCUCCUUCUUGAAUCCUUGCACAUCAGGAGCCAUCAAAUUUUCAGAUCAAGGGUUGUGUUUUAGUUCAAAGAUGUAGGAGCACAACAUUUGAAACUCAAUUAACAAUCUUCAAUUUUAUUUUUCUAGUUUUUGAUGUUAUGGUGAGAUAUGAACUGAAAUAAACUAGUCUUCAAUCUUCAAAAA